rnacentral:antisense_RNA from 1 species
CUUGAUGGAGCCCAGCCACAGGGGCUGCUCGUCGGUGUGCGCCUGACCGUACGUGGCCAGCAGCGCCUGCGCCUC